rnacentral:tRNA from 1 species
GGAAGGGCCACCCGAACGGCGACGGGACCCGCCUGGAACGAGGGCGAGCCUCACCAGCCUUGCGGGUUCGACUCCCGCCCCUUCCG